GGGUGGCUGACAAUAGCAUUAGACUUUUAAUCUAACUUAUGAUAGACAAAUUACCCUAUCCCC
rnacentral:tRNA from 1 species